rnacentral:lncRNA from 1 species
GCUAAACCGUAAAAUCCCUCUCUUGCCCACUUUCUGGAUCAUUGGUUUUGAUAUUUAUGCAUAUUUUAACAUAGAAUUUGUGAUAAUUGUUUCCUUUAUUCAAAUAAUAAUGUUAGAACGACAAACACUGCCUGAAAUGGACAAGGUGUUUCUUCGCCGACUGCGUGGUGGGAGUGAUUCAGCUGAGUCUGUUAUUCCUACGAGGGCUAACCUGCGGUCCUUCCUACCUUAUCGUCUCCAGGUGAGGGUGUAAUGAGAAGGUGGCUGCUACAACCAGGAAGAGGGUCCUCACCACAACCCGACCAUGGUGGUAUCCUGAUCUCAGACUUCCAGUCUCCAAAACGAGUGAACGUUUUCCACACAGAGAAAGCGGGUGUGCCAGUCGUUAAUGUGUUAUCUCUCAGCUUCGAAAUAACCUUGCGUUGCCCUGCUUGGUGAUGCUGGAGCUGGGCCCUGUAGACAUUUCUCCUUCGCCAGCUGGCUGGCUGUUAGGCUUUGGGAACAGAGGGUGCUGGAGCACCACUUCAGGGCCAAACAGGAGGAAGGCAUUUCCCUUCCUGUUCCUAGCCCUGGCACCAGCAGGUCAAAGUGGAGAGGGCCUGGAAGUGCUCACCUCAGCAUCCUGCCUGGACCUGCUCCGCUAGCCUGCAAGUUUCCCACUACCCAGGGCCAUUGCUGUGGAUCAGCCCCCAUCUGCAAUCUCUGUCCAGGUUUUCCAGAAAGCAGACCUGAGGCAAGACUCCUGUGCUCGACUUUGUCAGUGAGUGCGACCACAGGAGCCAGAGAAAAGGACAGAGAGAGUCCAGCGGGGAAGGAGAGGAACCGGGGGCAAAGACGCCUUAGCGAGCUGGCUGCCUCCAAGUGUGACUGAGGCUCAGCCCCGCCAAACCGCCCAGACGUGCCUCACGCUCUCCCCUGGCUCCAGGGGAAAUUUCUCCUGUUGGUCAGAGAGAUGAUGAAAAAGAAUGCAGAAGAGAUGAGAUGUGAGAAGGACUUCACCACCAUUGCCGGCUUUGAAGAUGAAGGGGUCCAUGAGCCAAAGAAUGUGGGAUGGCCUCUAGAAGCUGAGAACAACAUGAGGCCAACAGCCAGCAAGGAGACUUCAGCUGGAGACUUCAGCACUACAACUGCAUGGAACUAAGUUCUGCCAACAACCUGCAUGCAGCAGGGAGCAUCCGCUCCCCCAGGGCCGUCAGUAAGGAAAGCUGUCCUGGCACCUUGGUUCUAGCCUGGUAAGACCCGUAUGUACUUCUGACCUAUAAAACUGUAAGAUGAUAAAUUUGUGUUGUUUUAAGCUGUUAAAUUUGUGGUCAUGUGUUAUGACAGCAAUAGAAAACUAAUACAAAAGUAUGUGUGCUUUCCAGUUGUGUGCAGUGUUUUAUAUUUAUCCAUUAGAUGAAGUUUGUUAAUUAUGUUUAGAUCAACUGUAUCCUUACUCAUUAUCUGUCUUAUGAAUAAUUGUGAAAGAUAAAGGUGGAUUUUUUUCAGUUUCUCUUUAUAGAUCUGUUAAUUUUUGCUUUAUGUGUUUUGAAGCCAUGUUAAGUAUUAGUCAUUAAGAAUUGUUAUAGUGAUAAUUGUCAUAUUUGUAACCCACUCUGAAAAUCUUUGUCAUUUAAAAGCGUAGUUUAGUUUGUUAAAUUCAUUGAAGUUAGUGAGACAUUUGGAUUCCUCUAUGCUCCCUUAGUUUGUGGUUUUCAUUUGUCCUUCCUGUUCUACUUCUCUUUUUUCUCCUUUCUUGCCUUUUUUUAGGUUUGAUCAUAUUUCUCUUUCCCUCAUUCUCUUUUUACUCUCUCCAAAGUCGUGAGUUUUAUACUCUAUUGCUAUACUUUUACUGACUACCUUAAACAUUUUAAUAUAAGUAAUUAAUGUUUUUAAAUACAAAGUUAAUAUUUCUUCUUAAAACAAUAAAAGGAACUUAGACCAUUUUAAUUCUGAUCACCCCAUGCUAACUUCUUUGCUAUUUUCUUUCAAUAUUUUAGUUAUAUCUCAUUUUCAUCAAUCCCACAAAUUAGACAAUUAUUGUUUUAUAAAGUGAAUUUUCACUUAGUUCUACAUACAUAUUUAUCAAGUUCUGUGCUUAUGUUUUAUCCUUGAAUAUUAAAUUUUCAUUUGGGAUCAUUUUUCUUCUGCCUGAAGAAUAUCACUUAGAAUUUCCUUUCAUGUUGGUAUUUUGACAGAAAACUCUGUUUUU